ACCCAGAAUGAAGAGUUUGAGCAUGCGCAGUAGCUUAAUGCCACAUGUUGACUAUUAAUUUUAGUGAAGAAAGAAAGUUUUAGGUAGUAGCUAGUACGACUAUACUCCUUGCUGGACCAAGAUCAGACAUAUAACUUUCUCUGUAUGGAUCUAUUUGCCCUUGAAGAUGUAUAUGCAGGGAACAAAUAGUCCUAUAUGCAGAGAAAAGAAAACACAAAGUCCAAGAAAGUUAUCACACAGGCCAAUUUUGCAGGUUACCUUGCCUUGUUUUCUGAAACAAAGUACCUGAUAGCUGCUCUGUAGGAGUAUGACCUACCAUCCUUUGGGAAGUUUCUGCUACAUCUGACAUCGACACAAGUGACACGCAACGAAUAGAGUCAGAGUCCACUUCUUCAUGUUCAUUCUCUUAUCAUGCUUUAAUCAUACUCAUGCAUUAGUUUAUAACAUUGUUGUCAAUGAAAUGUUCAUACUAUGUAUAAAAUGAUCAUAAUUAUAUAGAGCAAAGUGUAUACCUCGAUUUGAGGCCGGGGGGGAGAUUCGAAUGAAAACUAGAGGUUAGGGUUUAAAAGCCCAGUCCCCUUUGCGAAGGUACGGUAUAGUCUCGAGGCCAGACUCCUCCGGCACAUGUCAGAAGAUUAAGUGCAAGGGAGUGGUCUGGGACAUGUCAGAAGAUUAAGUGCAAGGGAGUGGUCUGGGGCCAGACUAGGUAAGGUACAGGCCUUUUCUAGUGAGAGGGGGAGGGGCUGGUGUUUUGGAAAUGAGUAAACCACCAGCCCCUCCCUCUCCCACUCCCCCUUGUACUACUUUUGCUAGCUAGACCUCGAGCUAGACAUCAUGCCACAUGGAUCAGAAACGAAAAUAAAGCAAGAAUGAAGAGAUAGCUAGGAUACUGAGUGCAGGCUUAAAGAGUCUAUCUUCCUGUGUGUUGUCAGAUGAGGUUGUGUGGUGAGUAGCUCUAUCACAAGUCUAGUCAGUGGAGGACCAGGAGAGGAACAUCCUAGAGAAUGCUGUAGGUUCAUACCAUAAGAUCGCGACACUUUUUAAUAAUUACGAAGCCAGAGGUUGCAUCUUUUGGAGGUUGAAAAAUUAUAUUGAAGCCCUGGUGUCGCAUAUUUAGAGGGUCGCAUCUAAUUGGAGGUAACUUUACAGAGUCUACUUGCCUCGAUUUCAGGCCGCUUAAAAACACUGAUUUUCCAGUGGGCUACAAUCGAGGCUAGGGAGUGGCUACAUUUACCUCUAUUUAGAACGCGACAUUAAAAAAUAAUUAUCAACGCAGCUGUCGCUACUUUUAGAGGUCAGAAAAUUGCUGAAGGUCGCAUAUUUGGAGGGUCGCCUUAAAUCGAGGUCUUACGGUAGUAUAAUUUUAUUAUCUAUAUAAAAAAAAAAUAUAAUUAUUAUGGCCGUUCAACAAUCCCUAUAAUUACUCUAUACAUUUUGUCCAUCUUGAGAGCAGUGAAAACUCAUCUAAAGACAUUUGUAUUUGAGGGCACUACUCUGAACCUGCGUCCAUCGUGCUUUGUCUGCAUCACCAUGAACCAUGAACCCAGGUUAUGCUGGCUGCUCUGAACUACCAGACAAUCUAAAGGUAACUAUCAGUACUUUCUAUUUAGCCUCUAUGCAUUUCAAUAUUUCUCUCUAUAAUGUGUUGUUUCGUACAGUGGCCAUGAUGGUGCCAGACUAUGCCAUGAUUGGAGAGAUCUCUCUCUACUGUUAUGGUUUUGUGGAUGCUCGUAAUCUGGCCAUCAAGAUUGUCAUGACCUAUGGACUGUGUUCAGAGCAACUCUCCAGCCAACUCCAUUCUGACUAUGGCAUGCGUGCAGUCCAGUCAGUGUUGGUGGCAGCCGGUUAUCUGAAACUGAAGUACCCUAAUGAACAUGAAGACGUGUUACUGCUCAGAUCCAUCAUGGACGUCAACCUACCCAAGGCAAGACCAAGGUCCUAGAGGUACAUGUACUAGCUGACACACUCACACUAAUCAAUGAGAGGUGACAGAUGGAAGAGAACAAGACAGGCUAUAGAGUCAUCAACCCCAAGGCUGUCACUAAGGCUCAACUGUUUGGUACCCUGUGUCACACGAGUGGACUGACGAUGUGGUAGCCAACACAUUCAGAUAGUGAGGAGGACCGGAGCUGAUACAAGAGAGCUUUUGUCUGGCAGGACAGACCCAACAGCUGCAGGCACGACUACAGCGUCUCUUGUCAGCUGAGCUGCUCUGGAGCGAGGGCUGUGAUGAGUGUAAGAGUGGCUACAGGAUGGAAGAGAACAUCUGCGUGGGUGAGUGGGCGUGUGCUUAUUCGACCAUGUUUCUCUAAUAGAACACUAUCAGUUGAUUGGUUGGUACUAGCUAACACUAUCAGGCAAUUCUCAUUGUUGCUAUGACAACAAUCCUUGUAUCAGCCCUACAUUGUUCCUUGGUCAAUUUAUCUAUUUUUUGUAUACUUGUUACCAUUGUACAGGAUUGCACACGUAUCUAACUCCCUGUUCUGCUUUAGCUAGUAAUUGCAGUAGUGUAUAGAAUAAGGCUGUUUGCUACAUGCAGUGUAUGGGCUAUUAUUCCGUUGCAUACCUCACAGAUACUAAUUCCCUGUUAGUCUAUAUACGCUAGGCUAUUCUAGUGCAUACCUCAGUAACACAUACUAAUGGAUACCACUGCCUACCUGUAGAUUCCAACAGAUGAUUAUUAUAAGCCGUGUCUACAUGUACAGUCAUGUAUGUACUGUUACGUAUGUUCAGACGUUCAUUAAUUAAUGGAUCCCCCCCCCCCACACACACACACACACACACACACACACACAGGAUGAUAUUCUGCCAACAGUGCACUUCACAAAGCACCCAGCUGCCCUCCUCAAAGAAGUUGGUCAGAGUCUGUGACAGCUGCUUCCUGGACUUGAACACACUUUGUUUUUGUAUAAUUAUACCUCAUUCAUUGUGUUGUCCUCAAAUGAUCAUUUGAUACAAUUAUUGAC